rnacentral:rRNA from 1 species
UACGGGGGGGGGCAAGCGUUGUUCGGAAUUACUGGGCGUAAAGGGCUCGUAGGCGGCCAACUAAGUCGGAUGUGAAAUCCCCAGGCUCAACCUGGGAACUGCAUCCGAUACUGGAUGGCUUGAAUCCGGGAGAGGGAUGCAGAAUUCCAGGUGUAGCGGUGAAAUGCGUAGAUAUCUGGAGGAAUACCGGUGGCGAAGGCGGCAUCCUGGACCGGCAUUGACGCUGAUGAGCGAAAGCUAGGGGAGCAAACGGG